UGCAAGUCGAGCGGAGAGAUGUAGCUUGCUACUGAUCUUAGCGGCGGACGGGUGAGUAAUGCUUAGGAAUCUGCCUAUUAGUGGGGGACAACAUUCCGAAAGGAAUGCUAAUACCGCAUACGCCCUACGGGGGAAAGCAGGGGAUCAUUUGACCUUGCGCUAAUAGAUGAGCCUAAGUCGGAUUAGCUAGUUGGUAGGGUAAAGGCCUACCAAGGCGACGAUCUGUAGCGGGUCUGAGAGGAUGAUCCGCCACACUGGGACUGAGACACGGCCCAGACUCCUACGGGAGGCAGCAGUGGGGAAUAUUGGACAAUGGGGGGAACCCUGAUCCAGCCAUGCCGCGUGUGUGAAGAAGGCCUUUUGGUUGUAAAGCACUUUAAGCGAGGAGGAGGCUACUCUGGUUAAUACCCAGGGAUAGUGGACGUUACUCGCAGAAUAAGCACCGGCUAACUCUGUGCCAGCAGCCGCGGUAAUACAGAGGGUGCGAGCGUUAAUCGGAUUUACUGGGCGUAAAGCGUACGUAGGCGGCUUUUUAAGUCGGAUGUGAAAUCCCUGAGCUUAACUUAGGAAUUGCAUUCGAUACUGGGAAGCUAGAGUAUGGGAGAGGAUGGUAGAAUUCCAGGUGUAGCGGUGAAAUGCGUAGAGAUCUGGAGGAAUACCGAUGGCGAAGGCAGCCAUCUGGCCUAAUACUGACGCUGAGGUACGAAAGCAUGGGGAGCAAACAGGAUUAGAUACCCUGGUAGUCCAUGCCGUAAACGAUGUCUACUAGCCGUUGGGGCCUUUGAGGCUUUAGUGGCGCAGCUAACGCGAUAAGUAGACCGCCUGGGGAGUACGGUCGCAAGACUAAAACUCAAAUGAAUUGACGGGGGCCCGCACAAGCGGUGGAGCAUGUGGUUUAAUUCGAUGCAAC
rnacentral:rRNA from 1 species